rnacentral:rRNA from 1 species
AUUUAUUUAAUUAUUAAUUUAGUUAUUGUAAAUUAUUGAGUAAUAAAAUUAUUUUUAAAAAUUGAAUUAGUUGUUUGAGUAUUUUAAUUAGAAUAAAUUAGUUUAAAUUAUAGUUCAAUAGUAUUGUAAACAAAAUUUGAAAUAUAUUGAAAAAUUUUAAAUUUAAAAAAGAAAAAUUAAUUUUUUGUACCUUGUGUAUCAGGGUUUAUUAAAUAAAAAAUAUUAAUAUUUAUUUUUCUCGAAUUUAAAAGAGUUAUUUAUUUAUGAAAUUUAAUGUAGCAAAAUUAUUUUUAAUAAAUUUAUAGUAAUGAAAUGUUAAUCGUUUUUAAAGAUUUCUAGUUUUUUAAUAAAUAAAUUUAAUUUAAAUUUUAAUUUCUAAUACUUUUUUUAAAAAAAUUAUAUUAAAUUAAAAUUAAUAUUUUAAGGGAUAAGCUUUAAAAUAAAUUUUUAAAAUUUGAAUGAUAUAUUUUAUUUAAAUAGGGUUAGAAAUAUCUUUUUUUUAAAAAAUGUUAUAAUUUAAUUUAAAAUUAAUUUAAUUUUUUUUUAUUUAAUAAUUUAUUAAAAUAACUUAUUUAAUUAAUUAAUUUUGUGAAAUAAUGAUAAAAUUAGUAAAUAAAAAUGUUUUGGUUAUUUAAAAAAUGAAAGGUUAAAUAAAGGAAUUCAGCAAAAUUUUUUACUCACCUGUUUAACAAAAACAUGUCUUUUUGAAUAUAAUUUAAAGUCUGAUCUGCCCAAUGAUUUAAAAUUUAAUGGCUGCGGUAUCUUGACCGUGCAAAGGUAGCAUAAUAAUUUGUCUUUUAAUUGAAGGCUGGUAUGAAUGAUUUGAUGAAGUAAAAACUGUCUCUAUAAAAUUAUUAUUUAAAUUUUAUUUUUUAGUUAAAAAGCUAAAAUUUAAUUAAAGGACGAGAAGACCCUAUAGAGUUUAAUAAUUAACUUUUAUUUUUUUUUUUAAUUUUUAAUGAAUUUAAUAUUUAAUUAUUUUAUUGGGGUGAUAGGAAAAUUAAGUAAACUUUUUUAAUUUUAAAUACAUUAAUUUAUGAAUUUUUGAUCUUUAAGUUAAGAUUAUUAGAAUAAAUUACCUUAGGGAUAACAGCGUUAUUUUUUUUAAAAGUUCAUAUUUAUAAUAAAGAUUGCGACCUCGAUGUUGGAUUAAAAUAAAAUUUAGGCGCAAAAGCUUAAAGUUUAGGUCUGUUCGACCUUUAAAAUUUUACAUGAUCUGAGUUCAAACCGGUGUAAGCCAGGUUGGUUUCUAUCCUUAAUUUUAAAAUAAAUUUUUAGUACGAAAGGACCAAAUUUUAAAAAUAAUUUUUUUUUAUUGUUUAUUAAUAAAUUUU